rnacentral:misc_RNA from 1 species
AGCAGCCGCGGUAAUUCCAGCUCCAAUAGCGUAUAUUAAAGUUGUUGCAGUUAAAAGCUCGUAGUUGAAUUUCGGGGUCAGCAGGUCGGUCGUGCCAUCGGUAUGAACUGGUCUCGCUGAUCCCUCCCUCUUGACGAACUGUGAUGCCAUUAAUUUGGUGUCGCAGGGAAUCAGGACUGUUACUUUGAAAAAUUGAGUGUUUAAAGCAGGCUCACGCUUGAAUACAUUAGCAUGGAAUAAUGAAAUAGGACGUUUGAUCCUAUUUUGUUGGCUUCUAGGAUUGACGUAAUGAUUAAUAGGGAUAGUUGGGGGCAUUAGUAUUCAAUUGUCAGAGGUGAAAUUCUUGGAUUUAUUGAAGACUAACUACUGCGAAAGCAUUUGCCAAGGAUGUUUUCAUUAAUCAAGAACGAAAGUUAGGGAUCGAAGACGAUCAGAUACCGUCGUAGUCUUAACCAUAAACUAUGCCGACUAGGGAUCGGAUGAUGUUAAUUUUUUAAUGUUACUAC